GGGGAAUAUUGCACAAUGGGGGAAACCCUGAUGCAGCGACGCCGCGUGAGCGAAGAAGUAUUUCGGUAUGUAAAACUCUAUCAGCAGGGAAGAAGAAAUGACGGUACCUGACUAAGAAGCACCGGCUAAAUACGUGCCAGCAGCCGCGGUAAUACGUAUGGUGCAAGCGUUAUCCGGAUUUACUGGGUGUAAAGGGAGCGCAGGCGGUACGGCAAGUCUGAUGUGAAAGCCCGGGGCUCAACCCCGGUACUGCAUUGGAAACUGUCGGACUAGAGUGUCGGAGGGGUAAGUGGAAUUCCUAGUGUAGCGGUGAAAUGCGUAGAUAUUAGGAGGAACACCAGUGGCGAAGGCGGCUUACUGGACGAUUACUGACGCUGAGGCUCGAAAGCGUGGGGAGCAAAC
rnacentral:rRNA from 1 species